UGAUUUGAAACUAUUGUGAUUCGUUUUAUAAUGUAAAAUCAUCUGGUUGAGCUUAUAGUAAUGAUUUCUGAAAGUUGAAAGACGCUUUGUCUGCAGUCAUGCGAAAAGAAGCAGUUCUGGAUUCCUUGCUAAAUCUCGCUUUACAUUGAAGUUCUAYCAGAAUUGAAUUCAAAUACCAGAUACAUACACAAACCAGUGAAUCAUUGAGGGAUGGACGAAGAAGAAAGGAAUUACUGCUGCCUAGUACUACUACUUUCCAGGGUAGGCCUGGUAAAGUUACGUCAGUUUUUCAUAAAUGAAUGGGAUGCUUUGGGUGGAUUUCAUCCAUGGACUGACUGCAAUCAGAAUGGCACUGACCUGUUGACAAAGUAUACUCCACUUUCUUAUGAAAAAGCCAAAGUCAAGUCAGGUGACACAACAACAUGGGAUUUGUCYCUAUUUGUCAAAGCUCUGUUGAAAUCCAAACCUCCAUUUGUACCCAAAUCUAAAACUACUUUAGUUGCUGGUUUGGAAUGUUUGAAGGAAACAAGAAACACUCUUUGCCAUACCGGCAGUGGUAAGAUUGAAUUGACAGAGUUUACCAAGCUGUACACUGAUGCUUGCAAUGCAUUACUGUUAAUUGGUGCUUCGUCUGUGGAAUUUAAUCAAGUUAAGAAUGGUAAGCAAAAAAGUUUUGAAAAAUAAACCAUUCUGAUGUGAUAAUCUGUACUAUUAAUCAUUUAACAAGCAAAAAUCACCAAAGUUUUGAAUGUUUUCAACCAAUGUCAAAUUAAAGCAAAAUAUCUGUUUUAGUAUUUGUUGAUAAUGGAUGAACUAUUCAAAAAACAAACUAUUAAUACUCAUUUCAAGCAAAUUCUAACAGUUUUGGUGAUGUAUUAAGACAUUUGAAGAAUUCUGGUUUUUGUCAGGCCUUGUUUGUGAAAUGAUACUGUACAUGGUCAUGGUCACUGCAUACAUUGCUAUCAAAAUACUGCUCAUGUUUGGUUGGCUGUAAUUCAUUAACCAYGUACACUAAUGCCUUUCAAUUUAACCAGAAUAUGCACUUUUAAUGCUUUAUAAGACUAUAGUGUCAGGAAAACAAAUGUGUUUUUUGAGCUUCUGUAAAUAUCUCAAAGAUCUGAAUCUAAAUUGGUGUUGAAGUGGUAUGAAUUUAGACUUCAAUGUGUU